AAGAAGGGUGCCUGCUUCCUUUUCCAUUGUCCCCUCAAUACGAUGCGUAUCGGCCGCUGUGGUCUGUUUUGGCAUUGCUGUCGGUGCACUAAGAUUAACUGAUGGCUCCAGAGAUUGUGAAUGCAGGAUCUCUGGGAAUCUGGCAGAGGAUGCCUUGCUUCUGAAAUCGUUGGAGCCUUUUCAUCUGGGCUGUAAAGAAUCUUGUGACCUGGAGAAAACCCACAAGGGAGCCCUAAUUACUCAUAAUGACUUGUUAUUCUCCUUUUAAUAAAAGUAACUUGUGGUUG